rnacentral:rRNA from 1 species
CCUACGGGGGGCAGCAGUGGGGAAUAUUGCGCAAUGGGCGAAAGCCUGACGCAGCGACGCCGCGUGAGGGAUGAAGGUCUUCGGAUUGUAAACCUCUGUCAGUAGGGAAGAACGGUCACUGUGCUAAUCAGCAGUGAAUUGACGGUACCUGCAAAGGAAGCACCGGCUACUCCGUGCCACCAGCCGCGGUAAUACGGAGGGUGCGAGCGUUAAUCGGAAUUACUGGGCGUAAAGCGCUGGUAGGCGGGCUGUCAAGUCAAGGGUGAAAUCCCCGCGCGCAACGUGGGAACUGCCUUUGAAACUGGCAAACUGGAGUGUGCGAGAGGAAAGUGGAAUUCCAGGUGUAGGGGUGAAAUGCGUAGAUAUCUGGAGGAACAUCAGUGGCGAAGGCGACUAUCUGGCACAUAACUGACGCUGAGGAGCGAAAGCGUGGGUAGCAAACAGGAUUAGAUACCCGAGUAGUC